rnacentral:rRNA from 1 species
AUGCUUAGGGCUACACACGUGCUACAAUGGGUGGUACAAAGAGAAGCCAACUCGCGAGAGCGCGCCAAUCUCAAAAAAGCCAUCCUCAGUUCGGAUUGGAGUCUGCAACUCGACUCCAUGAAGUUGGAAUCGCUAGUAAUCGCGGAUCAGCAUGCCGCGGUGAAUACGUUCCCGGGCCUU